rnacentral:snRNA from 1 species
UCUACCUAAGAGAUUUACUACUG